UAUGAGUCACAAAGGGAUCAUGUGACAAGAAAGUCACUGAUAGGGAAUGAAAAAGCCUCAUUCUCUCAAUACUCCAAUGUGACCAUGGGCACGAGUGUCCUCUGCUGCCUGGUGCUUUGUCUCCUGGGAGCAGGUUCUUUUGUUGCUGAAGUCAUCCAGACUCCAGGACAUCUGGUCAAAACAAAAGGACAGAAAGCAAAGAUGCACUGUGUCCCCACCACAGGACACACCGCCGUUUACUUGUAUCAACAGAAGCCCAACAAAGAGCUUCAGUUCUUGAUUUACUUUCAGAACCGAGAAGUUCUUGCGCAAAUCGAGAUGGUCAAGCAGCGAUUCACAGUUGAGUACCCCCAAAACUCCCCCUGCAGCUUGGAAAUCCAGUCCUCUGAACCAGGAGACUCAGCCCUCUACUUCUGCGCCAGCAGUCCAUCCACAGCACUGAAGCGUUGGUUCCUCUUGGUGCAUAAACCCAUCACAGCCCGACUCAGGAAGCAGGCGAUGCAUUAGGUUGGAAGGAAGUAACAGAGAUCAGCUGGAGCCGAUGCUUGCAAAAUUGUGUUCAUUCACUAAAACACAAGAUGACUAAAAAACUUCCAGUUACGUUACAUGGAAUUUCAGCUGUUUUUGGAAUUGCCAUUUCAAAGUUUGUUACUUCAAAUGGGUAGAAGAGAUUGUUGUGAGAGAAUGCAGCAACUGAAAUCAACCUGCAGUGCUGGUGCUGGAAUAAUGUGGAAAAAACACAUCCUCAAGAAAAGUUGGAGCACAGAAAACACCUGAAAUGAUACACAGAAACAGUCUUUUUGAAAUUCUCAUUUGGGACAUCCUCUAAAUCCUGGAAACCUCGUGUUGAAGAUUUGAUUUGACCAACUGUCGCUCAAAUGAUUAGCAUGUCAACAAAAUAAACUUGGAUAGCAUUUCCAGAUGUGGUAUUAAUCAACAAGAGCUUGGCCAUACCAAAUGUCAGUAUCAUAGAGACUGGAAAUUGAAAGUGCCUCCAACAGAAAGAGACAACAGAAUACUGACAAGGAAAGGCAACACCAAGAUUUCCUUGAAAAACUUGAAGAUGAGGCAGUUGGGAAAAUGUCAACAAAUGUCAACAUCUAUCUCUGUGGAAAGUGACACAGACAAGAGGGAGCAUCUCAAAUGGGUCUGGCUGAGAUGCUUCAAGACCUUCACAUUCCUGAGAUGCACUGGGAAAGAAGAGGCAUCAGUGGUGACAGCCUGAGCCAUGGCUAUAGAUGGCUUCCACCUCUGUGGGCUCUCCUUACUUACUACAAGACAAAAUACCACUUACUGUCCACUCCAUCUGUGCCUCCAAAUGGCAAGAGCAGAAUAAAUAAGGACUGAAUAUGAAUAAAUAUGGCUACUUCAAUUUAAAAAAAUAGUAGAUGUAGGAAGAAACAGGAAAAUAUAACCCAUACAUGGAAAAAGUGGGCAGUAGAAAUCAACCAUGAAAUAACAGAACCUGGAAAUUUCAGGUGGGGAUCUUUAAUCUAUUGUAAAAAUACAGUCAAGGACUUAGAGGAAAAUAUGGUCAUAAUUUCAUCUGUUGAUAAAAUUGAUUAACCCAUAAUAAUCAAAAGGGUGGAAUUACUAUGAUAAGGAAUGAGAGAAUACAGCUGCAAUAAAUAUUAAUAUGUUGAAAGAGUAUCAUAAAUUGGUAUAUGACAAUAAAUUCUAUGUGGAUGAAAUAGAAAUGGAAUUAUUUGAAAAACACAAUUUAUCAAACUCACCCAAGAUGAAAUAAGAAAGGUAAAGAACUUUAUAUGGUCUCAAAUUAAAACUGAUCUCCACAGCAGAGGAGACAUGAAGAGAGUCUACAGAAUAGGAGAAAGCUUUGCUAGUUGCUCCUCCAACAGGAGAUUAAUAUCCAGAAUAUAUAAAGAACCUCAAAAUAUAACACCAUGAAAACAAAUAACCCAACCAAUGAAUGGGCAAAAAAAUCAAAUACAAAUAGCCAACAUAUAUAUGAAAAACUGUUCAACAUCCUUAGCAAUCAGGCAAAUGAAAAUCAAAACCACACCGAUUUCAUUUCAUUUCACUUAGAAUGGCAAUCAUCAAGAAUACAAAUAAUGAUAUUUAGGAAAUAUGUAUACAUUUAAUUUUCAUUUCCUUUUACAUGCCACUAUGUUCACAUUGAUAUAUUAAGUUUUUAAGUGUCUUUUUAAAAAAUCUAUAUUUCUAAUGAAUGGUCUUAGAUUGUACACAGAACAUUAUCUGAACAAUUUGAGAAAGGAAAAUGUAAAGGAGGUAAUAAGGGUGUUUCAAAGUAAAUAAAAUCCUUUCUGAUAUGAAA